CAGGGAUUGCCUCAGUAACGGCGAGUGAAGCGGCAACAGCUCAAAUUUGAAAUCUGACCCCGUCGGGGCCCGAGUUGUAAUUUGUAGAGGGUGUUUCGGGCGCGGCGCCGGUCUAAGUUCCUUGGAACAGGACGUCAUAGAGGGUGAGAAUCCCGUCUGCGACCGGCGAUCAACCCCAUGUGAAGCCCCUUCGACGAGUCGAGUUGUUUGGGAAUGCAGCUCCAAAUGGGUGGUAAAUUUCAUCUAAAGCUAAAUACGGGCCAGAGACCGAUAGCGCACAAGUAGAGUGAUCGAAAGAUGAAAAGCACUUUGGAAAGAGAGUCAAACAGUACGUGAAAUUGUCGAAAGGGAAGCGCUUGCGAUCAGACCGGUUCGGGGGCGAUCAGCCGCGGCUUGUCCGCGGUGCACGCGCCCUCGAUUCGGCCAGCAUCGGUUCGGGCGGCGGGAGAAAAGCCCCGGGAACGUAGCUUCCUCCGGGGAGUCUUAUAGCCCGGGGUGCAAUGCCGCCCGCCCGGACCGAGGACCGCGCUUCGGCUAGGAUGCUGGCGUAAUGGUCGCAAGCGACCCGUCUUGAAACACGGACCAAGGAGUCUAACAUCGAUGCGAGUGUUUGGGUGUCAAACCCAGGCGCGGAAUGAAAGUGAACGGAGGUGGGAACCCGGCGACGGGCGCACCAUCGACCGAUCCGGAUGUCUUCGGAUGGAUUUGAGUAC
rnacentral:rRNA from 1 species